AGAGUUUGAUCCUGGCUCAGGAACAACGCUGGCGGCGUGCCUAAUGCAUGCAAGUCGGACGGGAGCCGCGCAAGCGGUCGACCGUGGCGGACGGGUGAGGAACACGUGGGGAACCUACCCACGCGCGGGGGAUAACCCCGGGAAACCGGGGGUAAGACCCCAUAGGCUUGGUUGGCGGGGGGCUGACCAAGCAAAAGCUUCGGCUGCGCGUGGCGGGCCCUGCGGCCUAUCAGCUAGACGGUGGGGUAAGGGCUCACCGUGGCGAUGACGGGUCGCUGGUCUGAGAGGACGAUCAGCCACACUGGGACUGAGACACGGCCCAGACUCCUACGGGAGGCAGCAGUGGGGAAUCUUGCGCAAUGCGCGAAAGCGUGACGCAGCAACGCCGCGUGGGGGAAGAAGGCCUUCGGGUUGUAAACCCCUUUCAGUUGGGACGAAGCUCCGGCCGUUAACAGCGGACCGGAGUGACGGUACCUUCAGAAGAAGCCCCGGCUAACUACGUGCCAGCAGCCGCGGUAAUACGUAGGGGGCAAGCGUUGUCCGGAAUCAUUGGGCGUAAAGAGCGCGUAGGCGGUCCGGUAAGUCCGCUGUGAAAGUCAAGGGCUCAACCCUUGAAUGCCGGUGGAUACUGUCGGGCUAGAGUCCGGAAGAGGCGAGUGGAAUUCCCGGUGUAGCGGUGAAAUGCGCAGAUAUCGGGAGGAACACCAAUGGCGAAGGCAGCUCGCUGGGACGGUACUGACGCUGAGGCGCGAAAGCGUGGGGAGCAAACAGGAUUAGAUACCCUUGUAGUCC
rnacentral:rRNA from 1 species